rnacentral:rRNA from 1 species
GACGAACGCUGGCGGCGUGCUUAACACAUGCAAGUCGAACGGAAAGGCCCUGCUUUUGUGGGGUGCUCGAGUGGCGAACGGGUGAGUAACACGUGAGUAACCUGCCCUUGACUUUGGGAUAACUUCAGGCAACUGGGGCUCAUACCGGAUAGGAGCUCCUGCUGCAUGGUGGGGGUUGGAAAGUUUCGGCGGUUGGGGAUGGACUCGCGGCUUAUCAGCUUGUUGGUGGGGUAGUGGCUUACCAAGGCCUUGACGGGUAGCCGGCCUGAGAGGGUGACCGGCCACAUUGGGACUGAGAUACGGCCCAGACUCCUACGGGAGGCAGCAGUGGGGAAUAGUGCACAAUGGGCGGAAGCCUGAUGCAGCAACGCCGCGUGCGGGAUGACAGCCUUCGGGUUGUAAACCGCAUUCGCCUGUGACGAAGCGUGAGUGACGGUAAUGGGUAAAGAAGCACCGGCUAACUACGUG